GAGACUUCGGCGGCACAUAUGCUAAAAUUGGAAUGAUAAGGAGAAGAUUAGCAACGUCCCUGUGGGCAAGGACUCCACACAAGUUUGUGAAGUGGUCCAUAUAUCA